rnacentral:tRNA from 1 species
AGGGGUAUCGCCAAGCGGUAAGGCAUCAGAUUUUGAUUCUGACACUCGUUGGUUCGAAUCCAGCUACCCCUGCCA